rnacentral:rRNA from 1 species
UACGGAGGGUGCAAGCGUUAUCCGGAUUCACUGGGUUUAAAGGGUGCGUAGAAGGGCAGGUAAGUCAGUGGUGAAAUCUCCGAGCUUAACUUGGAAACUGCCGUUGAUACUAUCUGCCUUGAAUAUUGUGGAGGUGAGCGGAAUAUGUCAUGUAGCGGUGAAAUGCUUAGAUAUGACAUAGAACACCGAUUGCGAAGGCAGCUCACUACGCGGUCAUUGACGCUGAGGCACGAAAGCGUGGGGAGCAAACAGG